AACGAACGCUGGCGGCAUGCCUAACACAUGCAAGUCGAACGAGACCUUCGGGUCUAGUGGCGCACGGGUGCGUAACGCGUGGGAAUCUGCCCUUCGGUUGGGAAUAACUGAGAGAAAUUUCAGCUAAUACCUUAUAAUGUCUUCGGACCAAAGAUUUAUCGCCGAGGGAUGAGCCCGCGUAGGAUUAGGUAGUUGGUGGGGUAAUGGCCUACCAAGCCGACGAUCCUUAGCUGGUCUGAGAGGAUGAUCAGCCACACUGGGACUGAGACACGGCCCAGACUCUUACGGGAGGCAGCAGUGGGGAAUAUUGGACAAUGGGCGAAAGCCUGAUCCAGCAAUGCCGCGUGAGUGAUGAAGGCCUUAGGGUUGUAAAGCUCUUUUACCCGGGAUGAUAAUGACAGUACCGGGAGAAUAAGCUCCGGCUAACUCCGUG
rnacentral:rRNA from 1 species